GGGCGGAUGGUUUAGUGGUAUAAUACUCCCUUAGCAUCGCGUCUGGGAGUGGUCCGGGGUUCGAUUCCCCGUCUGUCCA